GGGUCAGUAGGUUGGUCGUGCCACCAGUACGUACUGGUCUCACUGAUUCCUCCUUCCUGAAGAACCGUAAUGCCAUUGAUUUGGUGUUGCGGGGAAACAGGACUGUUACUUUGAAAAAAUUAGAGUGUUUAAAGCAAGCUAACGCUUGAAUACAUUAGCAUGGAAUAAUGAAAUAGGACGAUCGAUCCUAUUUUGUUGGUUUCUAGGAUUGACGUA
rnacentral:rRNA from 1 species